rnacentral:rRNA from 1 species
CCUACGGGAGGCUGCAGUGGGGAAUGUUGCGCAAUGAUCGUAAGAGUGACGCAGCGACGCCGCGUGAAUGACGAAGGCCUUCGGGUCGUAAAGUUCUUUCGACAGGGAAGAAAAUGCCUAUAAGUAACUGUGUAUGUAUUGACGGUACCUGUAUAAGCAGCCCCGGCUAACUCCGUGCCAGCAGCCGCGGUAAUACGGAGGGGGCGAGCGUUGUUCGGAGGGACUGGGCGUAAAGAGCACGUAGGCGGUGUUGUAAGUCAUUAGUCAAAGACUAGAGCUCAACUUUAGUAAGGCUAGUGAUACUAUAAUACUAGAGUAUCAGAGAGGAUUGCAGAAUUCCUGGUGUAGCGGUGAAAUGCGUAGAUAUCAGGAGGAAUACCGUUAGCGAAGGCGGCAAUCUGGCUGGAAACUGACGCUGAGGUGCGAAAGCGUGGGUAGCAAACAGGAUUAGAUACCCCAGUAGUC